rnacentral:lncRNA from 1 species
AGCCACGUCUCUUCUCUCUGGCUCUCUCUAGUCGCCUUCAUCAUUGUUGCCAUCGUCGAAGACAAACUGGCCAAGUUAUCCGCACCACCGCCACGUGAAACAACCUCUGACAACCACCCUUAUCGUCUCCAUCUCCGACAACAAGUUGGCUAAGCUGUCUGCACCACAACCACGUGAAAUAGUCGCUGACAACCACCAAACAGCCGGCGAAAUCUCCAACAGUAAGUAUAUCUUUCCUUUCUACAUUUUUAUAAUCAUUUUACUUUUUGUUUUUUUCUAAGGUACUAAUAGAAUAUGCUUGUACACAACCUUUAUUAUCUGUAUCAAUGAUUAUUCUGUUCUUCGAUAGCUGCUCUUGAAUUGAAAUUACUUUUUCCAUGCCAUUGAUAACAAAAUAUGCUCCGAGAUCAAGGGGACAUUCUCCAAGUUUUGCUAGUUGUUCUUCAUCUUUUCCAUACAGCACGCAAGACCAACUUCUUAGCAUAAUAGUCAUUUGUCCAAUGAUAACAUACUUCUCCAUUGAUUCUGGUUUUUUCCCUUUCAUUGUUGUUGUGUAGUCGACUGUGACAUAAAUAGGAGCCGCAUAGAUAAGGUUAGAUAGCUGACAUUUCUGUGGACUUAGUUUCUCAGUUACACCCUCAUAUAUCAUUGAUGGUUCACCAAUACGGGCAUCCUAGUACCUAAGAUAAAUACUGGGGUUCCUUGAUGAUUUGUUAUACUCCUUUCAUUUUAUAUGUUUCAUUUUAGCAAAUCAAGAUAAUUUUUACCUUUUUAUAAUACCCUUGGUAUUAAGUUCAUGAAGUAGCAGUUUAUCCGUAUAAAACUCUGAAGUGAACUUUUAACACUAAACAACAACUAUAAGUUAUUAUCUACUGCUUAGUAUUUUGGUAUUGCUUUGUCAUAGUUUUUGUUCUUCUCCAUGGUCUAGUGUAAGCUACAGUCAUCUAGCUAAUACCACUGAAGUUGUGGUGGAGUUGUCUCAUUAUGGUGACAAAAAUUGGUUUAAUUAAAUGUUGACAAUAAUAGAUGAGAGAGCUGUCUCAUUAUGGUGACAAAAAUUGGUUUAGUGUUGUCACUUGAAAUGUGAAUUCAUGACUUGAAAAUGGUCAAGUUUAGUCACUUGAAAUGUGAAUUAGAGAGUUGAAAUGUGUACUAGUGACUUCAAAAUGAUCAAGUGUAGUCACUUGAGAAGUGGAUUAGUGACUUGAAAAUGGUUUUGUGUGCUUGAAAGGUGAACUUGUGUUUUGAAAUUAGUAAAGUGUAAUCACUUGAAAAUGUGAAUUCAUGACUUGAAAUUGGUUUAGUGUUGUCACUUGAAAUGUGAAUUCAUGACUUGAAAUGGUUAAGUUUAGUCACUUAAAAUGUGAUUUAGAGAGUUGAAAAUGGUCAAGUGUAGUGUUUUGAAAUGUGUACUAGUGACUUCAAAAUGAUCAAGUGUAGUCACUUGAGAAGUGGAUUAGCAACUCGAAAAUGGUUUAAUGUAGUUACUUGAAAGGUGAACUUGUGUUUUGAAAUUAGUAAAGUAUAAUCACUUGAAAAUGUGAAUUCAUGACUUGAAAUUGGUUUAGUGUUGGCACUUGAAAUGUGAAUUCAUGACUUGAAAAUGGUUAGGUUUAGUCACUUGAAAUGUGAAUUAGAGAGUUGAAAAUAGUUAAGCGUAGUGUUUUGAAAACGUUUAAGUAUAGUGACUUGAAAUGUCAAUUAGCUAUUUGAAAAUGAUUUGAGUGUAGUGACUUGAAAUGUGAAUAAGUUAUUUGAAAAUUAUUAAGUGUGGUGACUUCAAAAUGAUUAAGUGUAGUUACUUGAAAUUGCAAACUUGUGACUUACAAAUGGUUAAGUGUAGUCACUUGAAAUGUGUACUAAUAACUUGAAAAUAAUAAAUUAUAGUUACUUGAAAAUGAUGAAGUAUAGUGACUUGAAAUGUGAAUUAGUUAAUUGAAAAUAGUUAAGUGUAGUGAUUUAAAAUGUGUACUAGUGACUUGAAAUUGUUAUAAGUGUAGUGACUUGCAAUGUGAAUUAGUUAUUUGAAACUGGUAAGUGCAGUGACUUGAAGUGUGAAGUAUUGAAUUGAAAAUGGUUAAGUGUAGUUACUUGAAAAUGGUUUAGUCAUUUGAAAUUGUGAACUUGUGACUUGAAAAUGAUUAAGUGUAGUUACUUGAAAUGUAUACUUGUGACUUUAAAAUAGUUAAGUGUAGCGACUUGAAAAGUAUACUAAUGACUUUAAAAUGGUUAAGUGUAGUAAUUUGAAAUUGUGAACUUGUGACUUGAAAAUGAUUAAGUGUAGUUACUUGAAAUGUAUAUUUGUGACUUUAAAAUGGUUAAGUGUAGUGACUUGAAGUGUGUACUUGUGACUAGAAAAUGGUUAAGUGUAGUCACUUGAAAUUGAACUAAGUUACUUCAAGUUAUGAAUUUGUUACUUGAAAAUAAUUAAAUGUAGUGUCUUGAAAUGUAUACUAGUGACUUUAAAAUGAUUAAGUGUAGUGACUUGAAAUGUGUACUAGUGACUUAAAAAUAGUUAAGUGAAGUUACUUGAAAAUGAUUGAGUAUAGUGACUUGAAAUGUGUACUAGUGACUUGAAAAUGGUUAAGUGUAGUUACUUGAAAUGUCAAUUAGCUAUUUGAAAAAGGUUUGAGUGUAAGUGACUUGAAAUGUGAAUAAGUUAUUUGAAAAUUAUUAAGUGUAGUGACUUGAAAAUGAUUAAGUAUAGUUACUUGAAAUUGCGAACUUGUGAUUUGAAAAUGGUUAAGUCUAGUCACUUAAAAUUGUGAACUUGUGACUUAAAAAUGGUUAAGUAUUGUCACUUGAAAUGUGUACUAAUAACUUAAAAAUAAUAAAGUAUAGUUACAAAAUAAAUAUGUUUGGUUAUAUGAAAAGAUCUCUGCUUUGAGAAUUUCCCAUUAAAUAAAUCUUCUUAUAUAAUCCAUUGCAGUGUACCUGAAAAUGUAUAAUCCAUUUGACCGGAUACAGAGUUUUAACAAAUAAGAAAAGACUUUUCUUCAUAUUAAGUGUUAAAUACGUGGCACCACUUGAACCCUUCCUCUUGUUCUCUUAUUUUUCUAAUUUCAUCCGCUGUUAUCUUUAUAGAACAAGUCAUAACAAUAGUCACAAUAAUCUGGAAAGUCAACUUGGAGUUUAUGAUGCUUUAUAUUCUAAUAUAUACAUGUUUAUAUUUGUUGAUUGUUAUGAUUUUAUUUGAUACUAUAAUGUCAUAUAAUUUAUGUGAAUAAUGCAUUUUUAGCACUUUCUAUGGCCUGAAUUAACAUAUUCUUAUGUAGAAUGAGUUUGAAAGAAAGAAACAAGAAAUAUUAGCUGCUCAAAGUGCAUCAAUUGUGGUAGGAAGAUGGGAA